AUGAACGCUAGCGACAGGCUUAACACAUGCAAGUCGAGGGGCAGCACAGGUAGCAAUACCGGGUGGCGACCGGCGCACGGGUGAGUAACGCGUAUGCAACUUACCUAUCAGAGGGGGGUAACCCGGCGAAAGUCGGACUAAUACCGCAUAAAGCAGGGAUCCCGCAUGGGAAUAUUUGCUAAAGAUUCAUCGCUGAUAGAUAGGCAUGCGUUCCAUUAGGCAGUUGGCGGGGUAACGGCCCACCAAACCGACGAUGGAUAGGGGUUCUGAGAGGAAGGUCCCCCACAUUGGUACUGAGACACGGACCAAACUCCUACGGGAGGCAGCAGUGAGGAAUAUUGGUCAAUGGGCGUAAGCCUGAACCAGCCAAGUCGCGUGAGGGAUGAAGGUUCUAUGGAUCGUAAACCUCUUUUAUAAGGGAAUAAAGUGCGGGACGUGUCCCGUUUUGUAUGUACCUUAUGAAUAAGGAUCGGCUAACUCCGUGCCAGCAGCCGCGGUAAUACGGAGGAUCCGAGCGUUAUCCGGAUUUAUUGGGUUUAAAGGGUGCGUAGGCGGCCUUUUAAGUCAGCGGUGAAAGUCUGUGGCUCAACCAUAGAAUUGCCGUUGAAACUGGGAGGCUUGAGUAUGUUUGAGGCAGGCGGAAUGCGUGGUGUAGCGGUGAAAUGCUUAGAUAUCACGCAGAACCCCGAUUGCGAAGGCAGCCUGCCAAGCCAUGACUGACGCUGAUGCACGAAAGCGUGGGGAUCAAACAGGAUUAGAUACCCUGGUAGUCCACGCAGUAAACGAGGAUCACUAGCUGUUUGCGAUACACAGUAAGCGGCACAGCGAAAGCGUUAAGUGAUCCACCUGGGGAGUACGCCGGCAACGGUGAAACUCAAAGGAAUUGACGGGGGCCCGCACAAGCGGAGGAACAUGUGGUUUAAUUCGAUGAUACGCGAGGAACCUUACCCGGGUUUGAACGCAUUCGGACCGAGGUGGAAACACCUUUUCUAGCAAUAGCCGUUUGCGAGGUGCUGCAUGGUUGUCGUCAGCUCGUGCCGUGAGGUGUCGGCUUAAGUGCCAUAACGAGCGCAACCCUUGCCACUAGUUACUAACAGGUGAUGCUGAGGACUCUGGUGGGACUGCCAGCGUAAGCUGCGAGGAAGGCGGGGAUGACGUCAAAUCAGCACGGCCCUUACAUCCGGGGCGACACACGUGUUACAAUGGCGUGGACAAAGGGAAGCCACCUGGCGACAGGGAGCGAAUCCCCAAACCACGUCUCAGUUCGGAUCGGAGUCUGCAACCCGACUCCGUGAAGCUGGAUUCGCUAGUAAUCGCGCAUCAGCCAUGGCGCGGUGAAUACGUUCCCGGGCCUUGUACACACCGCCCGUCAAGCCAUGGGAGCCGGGGGUACCUGAAGUCCGUAACCGCGAGGAUCGGCCUAGGGUAAAACUGGUGACUGGGGCU
rnacentral:rRNA from 1 species